UCCAGUGAUCCCAGUUUCAGCAGUACUAAAGUGCUUAUAGUGCAGGUAGUGUUUCUACCUUAUCUACUGCAAUGUAAGCACUUGAAGUACUUCUAACUGUAUUUUUCUG